ACAAGCGAGCAGCCACAGCUUCAGUCGUUCAGGAUCAUUGAUAGGGAAUCUGUGAAAAGUUAGUCUUUCCUCUUGCGAUGAUGCCCGCGGACGUAAUCUAACGAUUUUCACUAGGUUGAGGCAUCCAGGAUAAGCACAAUGAGAUUGGGGAGAGUGGCAUAAAAGGACCAUGCCAGCGCCAGAUCGAGAGAGAGAGACUGGGUCAAGAACUUUACUGUGAAGCUGAUGAGUUAUUGUGAAGCUAUAAACCAGAGAAGUGGUCAAUUAAAAGUUCCCUACCUGUGUUUGAAGAAUCCAGUUCCCGGUGUCCUUCCUUGUUACACUGGUGCCGAAACCCGGGAUCUGAUUUGAAGACUGUACGCUCCAUGGAGUCCUUCCCGCUGACCGACAUCAUCAAGUCCCUUGCCGACCUACAUCACACCCACCAACAGGCUCUGCUUGAACUCCACCAAAAUCAGGAAUGCCGCUUCUAUGAGGUCCUUAGAGUUCAGGCAGAGGACCGGCAGGUCAUUCGGAGCCUCCUCACCCAGGAGAAAGCCCCGGCAGUGACCUCGGACAACAGCAGCCCCCUGCCCCCGCUGUUGAAGAUGGGGGCGGAAGACAACCCUGAAGCCUUCCUUGACAUAUUUGAGCAAACCGCUGAAAUCUGGGGCUGGCCGCAUGCUCAGUGGGUAGCCCGGCUUAUCCCUCUGCUGUCAGGGGAAGCCCAGCUUGCAGCACAACAUCUGCCGGCGGCCAAUCUUCUGGUCUAUGGCGAUCUGAGGAAGACCAUCCUGCAGCGGGUCGGCCGGAGCCCAGAGCAAUUCCGUCAACUGUUCCGCUUGAUGAAGUUGGAAGGAGCCGGUCACCCGUUUGCCUUUUCUCAGCGGCUCCGUGAUGCCUGCCGGAACUGUCUGCGGGCGGGGGACCGCGACGUCGAGGGAGUGGUCGACUAAGUGGUGCUGGAACAGCUGAUUCAUCGGCUUCCUGAAGGGAUGGCGGAGUGGGUCCAGUGCCAUCGCCUGGCGUUGCUGGAGGAAGCGGUCUAGCUGGCGGAGGACCAUAUGGUGGUGUGCCCAAGCGUGGAGGAGCCCUCCCUCUCUCUCUCCCCUCCCCCUGUGUUUUCUCCCAUCUCUUCCCACUCCCCUCUCCCCUCUCACUCUGUCCUCUCUCCAGGCCCUGUUCCUGCACUCCGGAGGCAUGGAAACCCACCACCGAAGCCGGCUCCUUGCUUGCGCCGGUUUAUCCCUUUCCUGGCAACUUCAGGGUCUACCCGCUCUCCCCCUCAGGCAGAUGUACCCGCCCCCACAAGUGCGAGUGUAGCACCUGGACCUGCCUGCUGGUGUUGCAGGGAUCCAGAACACUUCCGGGAUCAGUGUCCUGUGAUGGACCUGGGAACUGUAGUCCAGAUCCCCGACGCACCACGGGCUGCCCCCGAUCGGGCUGGAGGGUACAGGAUACCGAUGGACGCUUCAGACAGGGGGCUGGUGGCCAUACUCUCACAGGUGGUGGAGGGGGAGGAGCGCCCAGUGCUGUACAUCAGCCGCAAGCUCUCCUUGAGGGAAACUAAGUACAGCACCGUAGAAAAGGAGUGUCUGGCCAUCAAGUGGGCAGUCCUCACUCUCUGUUACUGCCUGCUGGGGCGGGCCUUCACUCUCUGCUCAGAUCACGGCCCACUCCAAUGGCUCCAUCGCAUGAAGAAUACCAAUGCGCGGAUCACCCGGUGGUAUCUGGCACUCCAGCCCUUUAAAUUCAAGGUGGUCCACAGGCCGGGAACGCAGAUGGCUGUCGUCGACUUCCUGUCCAGAAAUGGGGGGGGGGAGUGGUAGGCAGUCCGGAUGUCUCCCCAGCCUGAGUCGGGCGGUGGGGAUAUGUGGCAGCGGGGGCGUGGUCGAGCGUCCAUCGAGAGAGAGAGAAAGCGCCUGUACAGGAGAGUAAUGCAAGCCUUUUGGUGGAGGACAGAGCAGAAGAAGCCAUCCAGACAAUAUUCUGUGAUGAUAAUGAUGAGAGGGGCUGGUCUGAAAAUCAGGAAGGCUUGUUGCAGACAUCAACUGAUCAACCUGAAAUGCCACGAGAGAAAGAGUCCUUUGAAUGUGAGCAGUGUGGAAAGGUCUUUCCAAAGAUGCAUGGUCUUGCACACCACAAGCAUGUACAUUCAAGCAUAAAGCGACACAGUUGUGAAAAGUGCGGGAAGAAGUUCAAACAGUUCAGAGCGCUAGAGACUCAUCUCCGUACACAUAUGCCGAAGAAUGAGAAGAAGAAAUUCCCCUGUAGUACCUGUGGAAAAAGCUUUAAACAUCUUACAUUACAUCAACUGGUUCAUGCUGAAGUCAGGCCUUUUACUUGUGAUAUAUGUGGACAAGGAUUUACAGUCAAAGGAAAUUUAAACAAGCACCAAAGGGUGCAUACGGGCGAAAAGCCAUAUGAAUGUGAGACGUGUGGAAAAUGUUUCGCCGAAAUGGGGACCCUAAACAUGCACAAGAAAUUUCAUUCAAGUGACAGGCCGAUAAAAUGCAGCUACUGCAAUAAGAGUUUCAAGAGCCGCAAUCAUUUGCAACGGCACCUCCCUGUGCACACAGGUGAGAGGCGACAUGCAUGUCAAUUCUGUGGAAAAAAAUUUGCACAACACGAGGCUAUGAGACGCCACAUACUCAUUCACACCGGUGAAAAGCCGUACAUCUGUGAGGUGUGUGGUGUUCGAUUCAGACAGAGAAGCAAUUUGAAAAUUCAUUUGCGGAUGCAUGGAAAUGCGCAGUUUACGUGUGAAGUGUGUGGAAAAACAUUCCAGCAUGAUUUUUUGCUACAGGAUCACAUUCUAACACACAAUCAGACUGGAAAUUCAUCAGAUAAGAAAGUUGCUUAUGGCUGUGAUGUGUGUGGGAAGUUUCUGAGCUCUGCCUAUGGGUUGAAAAUUCAUCUGCAACUUCAUUCAUAUAACUGCAAACCUUUUCCUUGCAAGUUAUGCGAGAGGAGGUACAACAGCGCAUAUAGCCUUCGGAUACAUGAGCAGCUUCAUACAGGAGAGAAACCUUUCAAAUGUGAGAUAUGUGGAAAGGGCUUUGUACGCAAGGGGUCCUAUAAAACCCAUGUGUUUAGCCAUUCAGGAGAAAGACCUCACAAAUGCAUAGUGUGUGGGAAAACAUUUAAAUGGUCCACCUCUCUGAAAAUCCAUAAACUUAUUCAUACUGAUAAAAAACCUCACAAGUGUGAGACAUGUGGAAAGUCCUUUCAGUUAUCUGGAAACUUAAAGCGACACAUGUGUGUUCACUCUGCGGAGGAGCCAUUCAGCUGUGAGGUCUGUGGGGAAAGGUUUGUAAAACUCAGUAAUAUGAAGGAACAUAUGCAAAUCCACACUGGGGUGAAGCCCUACACUUGUCAGACAUGUGGGAAGACUUAUGCAUAUCUUCGACACUACAAUGAUCACAAAUGUAAACCUGCAUGAAAAAAAAAAUAUUUGAAGCAUAGUAGGAAAUUGAAUUGCAUUACCCCUUUCUUAUUGCUGUUUUAUCUUAACAUUUCUAGUUAGUCCUAAAGCUUUAAACAGUUAAAUCGAUGUGGCCAAAAUCAUAUGAGUAAUUUGUAUUGUAAUGAAUGAUCUGUUAAAAAGAGCUACACUCACUGAGCACUUUAUAAGGAACACCUGUACAGCUACUUAUUCAUGCAAUUAUCUAAUCAGCCAAUCGUGUUGCAGCAGUGCAGUGCUUCAGUUUAUGUUCACAUCAACCAUCAGUAUGGGGAAAAAAUGUGAUCUCAGUCAUUUAGACCUUGGCAUGAUUGUUGGUGCCAGAUGGGCUGGUUUGAGCAUUUCUGUAACUGCUGAUCUCCUGGGAUUUUCACACACAACAGUCUCUAGAGGUUACUUAGAAUGGUGCCAAAAACAAAAAACAUCCAGUGAGUGGCAGUUCUGCGGACGGAAAUACCUUAUUGAUGAGAAAGGUCAAUGGAGAACGACCAGACUGGUUCGAGCUGACAGAAAGGCUACGGUAACUCGGAUAACCACUCUGUACAGUUGUAGUGAGCAGAAUAGCAUCUCAGAAUGCACAACAUUUCAAACCUUGGGGCCUAUUAGUGUUCCUUUUAAAGUGCUCAGUGAGUGUAUAUUGUGCUAUUAUCUGUCAUAAGCACUUCUUGUAAUUAGGAAUGCUGUCUGAGGGAAUAAAACCUUCAUGGCACUUUUUAAUGACCUUUCGUUUGCAAACUGUAAUCAGUAGUCAGACUGGACUCUGCAUCCUUUGAUAGACUUAAUACCCAAUAAAAAAAUAUAUAUUUUCUAAAUU